GAGGACGACGCGAUUAUAUUAUUACCGUUGCACACAGCCGCGUCCGUCUCGAUUAAACACACUGCACAUCUGUAGCGAAAUCUUUGAGUACAAUACGCGUUCGAAAGGGACCCGUACACCGACAUUUUCGCUGUCUGUCUCGCGUUUAAUAUCGUGUAUGACAACAAAAGCGUUCCGCCGUACUUACUCGCGUGACUCACCGGUUGAGUUUAUUAAUCGCACAUUCCUCUACGGCUGGACCGCGUGAUAUUUUUCUUUGUUGUUGAGACUACACCUAAAUUCAACUUGUUUAAAGUUCGACUUCCCGAAG